UUUAAGCAUCUUAUUUAUUGACUUUAAUUAUUUAUUUUGAUUUAAUAUUCAUUGCUAUAAACAAACAACUUUGUGUUUAUAUUCCAGUGACCCUAGUUUGGAAUCUGAUUCAUUCCUGAAUAGCUACCUUGAUAUGGACUCAGUAAAGGGAAGAAUUUAAAGAUGCUGUGGGAGACAGAGAUCGUAGAGUAAGUGCUUCUCAUGUGCCAGAUGCUCGAGUUCUCUGCCAGCCCUUGCUCUCAGAUGAAUAAGUGCUAGCAAGUAACUCCUGCACCAGGUGACAUGAAGGUACCGUCAUA
rnacentral:lncRNA from 1 species